rnacentral:lncRNA from 1 species
CCACAGUCUGCCUUUAGUGCAACCAAAGCAGGUGAUUGAGCCCCAGGGGCUGAUCCUAAGAACAUCUGGGCAGCUUGCCAUCCUGUUGCUCUAAAAUGAAAAUCAUGUGAAAGGUUUGAAAGGCUUCCGUUUAUGGUAAUUUAGUCGUUAACCUGCAUGGGGACACAGGCUGUGACGCAGGUGACGCCUUUGGCCCGCUCUGUCCCUGAUUUCCCAGGCAGAGGGCCCAGGAGGCCAGGCCAGAACACUCGACUCACCCAGAAGGAUCUUUCCUUGACCACUUCUGGCCCUCACAACUACCCCCGGGAGCUGGAGCAGGAAAGAGGACAGGAGAGCAGGCAGCUGCUGUGUGGCCAGGGAAUUAUGUUGAGUUUUGGCAAGAGACCAGGGUGACUGGCAGGAAACUUGUACAGUCCCGGCCAUCAGUACGCAGAUGGAAUUCACUGAAGGCAACUCACUUCAGACAAGGGUCUGUGCCUCUUCUGGUCCUCUGGGACAUGUAAUAUCAUCUCAGAGGAAGGGAAGCUUGUUCAGAGAGUACACUUAUCUAAAGGCAGAUGAAUAACUCUAUAAUACUGAAAACACAGUUGCUCCCCAGGUCAUAUAAAAUCUUGCCAUUGGGAAUGUCUGCAGAAGAAUGCAACUCAUGGAGAUUUCUUGGAAAUAGAAAAACCCUAUAGCACCUUGGUGCAAAAUAUAACUUUUCUCAAACUGAUGCCACUUUCAGUAUUGUUCUUUGGCACCAGAAAUUUCCCAGGGCAGUGUUAACCAGACAAUGCCAGAGAAGAGAGCCUGGGUCUCAGAACUGUCCACUAUAAUCACAUGAGGCUGCGUUAAUUGAAGAUUGCUUUCAACUUAUGAAUAUCUGAAGAAUUAAUCCCACACAGAGAAUUUAGAAGCAGAACGGCCUUUUCAGAAUUAGCACAGGUUUCUAAGAUUCCGUCCUUGGUGGGUUAUCUCACAGAGCAAAGUCUCUAACUACUUAUUAAAAUACUGUAGGUCCAAAUCCUAACUUUUCAUUCUUAUCAAACAUAUUUUUAUAUGUAUGGUAGUUCACUUAGUGACAAAGAUGCCAUUCAAAGUGUUUGGGAAAGAAGGGACCAAGUUCAACAAGUGCAUUCAUAUCCUCUCAGAAUUUGUUUUUGUGUUACUUGUGAGGCAGGCAUUUAGUUAGUUUUUAUGGUUUCCAGAAGUAUAUCUGAUUUUCUCAGUAGCAUUCUGUUUCUAAACACACCAUUCUCUAUUGAUGUUGUUAUAAGUUUCUGUGCCUUUACCUCAUAAUUUAAUUGUCACAACCUUACAGCAUAUUUUGAUAGCUGGUAGGGUAAAUCCUCCCUUAUUAUUCUUUAACGUAAAAAUUUUGUUGGAGAUUCUCUUCCCCAUACAUUUAGAAUCAGCUUAAAGUUUAUUAAAUAUACCCAUUGGGGUUUUGUUUGGUGUUACACAUUAAUUGUAGAUUAUUAUUAUUUCCUCUCUACCAUGUAACGUGCAGACCAUGUUUGGGAGCAGCUAGUGCAUAGCACACAUUAGUGUCUAACU